GUCAGUGUAGCUCAGUGGCAGAGCGUGUGCUUAGCAUGCACGAGGUCCUGGGUUCCAUCCCCAGAACCUACG
rnacentral:tRNA from 1 species